rnacentral:rRNA from 1 species
AUUGAACGCUGGCGGCAGGCCUAACACAUGCAAGUCGAGCGGAGCGGCGGACGGGCGAGUAAUGCCUAGGAAUCUGCCUGGUAGUGGGGGAUAACGUCCGGCAACGGGCGCUAAUACCGCAUCCUAUCAGAUGAGCCUAGGUCGGCUUAGCUAGUUGGUGGGGUAAAGGCCUACCAAGGCGACGAUCCGUAACUGGUCUGAGAGGAGUAUCAGUCACACUUGAACGGAGACACGGUCCAGACGCCUACGGGAGGCAGCAGUGGGGAAUAUUGGACAAUGGGGGAAAGCCUGAGCCAGCCAUGCCGCGUGUGUGAAGAAGGUCUUCGGAUUUUAAAGCACUUUGAUUGAGGAGGCGUUACCAACAGAAUAAGCGCCGGCUAACUUCGUGCCAGCAGCCGCGGUAAUAC